CCUCAAUGUAAGAUCUACUUUAUUUAAAUUUUAAGACAAAACAGUCCAAUAACAGUUUGAGACUUGGAAAUCAAUGUGCAGAAACUACUGUAAUCUCUCGUUGGCCAGUGUUUUAAGUAUUUGAAGAUGGUUAUUCUAUUUUGUGUUUGGUUUAGUUGAUCCCCCUCUUUGUAUUUAUUGGAACUGGAGCUACUGGAGCAACACUGUAUCUCUUGCGUCUGGCAUUGUUCAAUCCAGAUGUUUGUUGGGACAGAAAUAACCCAGAGCCCUGGAACAAACUGGGUCCCA
rnacentral:lncRNA from 1 species